UUAUGAAUUCAUGUAUAUGAUGACUACCAAGAUUGGUGAAAGGGACACCAAAGAAGAGCUUACGAAAGCAUUUCACAUCAUUGAUCAAGAUGACAAUGGGAAGAUAUAUGCCCAAGACAUCGAACGCAUCGCCAACGAGCUCAGCGUAAACUUAACUGGGAAAGAGAUCGAAGACAUGAUUGAAGAAGCCGAUCGAGAUAAGAUGGUGAGGUAAAUAUGGAUGAAUUCAUGAGGAUGAUGAAGAGAACAACAUAUGGGUACUAGAAGUCUCCAUUUUGAUGGUGAAUUGGGAGGGUUUAGAGCUCUUGCUUACAAUA